UACGUAGGUGGCAAGCGUUGUCCGGAUUUACUGGGCGUAAAGGGCGUGCAGGCGGUUUGUUUAGUGCAGGGUGAAAGCUCCCGGCUUAACUGGGGGAGGUCCUUGCAUACUGGCAGACUUGAGGGAGGCAGAGGAAAGUGGAAUUCCCGGUGUAGUGGUGAUAUGCGUAGAUAUCGGGAGGAACACCAGUGGCGAAGGCGGCUUUCUGGGCCUUACCUGACGCUGAGACGCGAAAGCGUGGGGAGCGAACCGGAUUAGAUACCCCAGUAGUCC
rnacentral:rRNA from 1 species